GCCUGGUGGCUCAGUCGGUUGAGCGUCUGACUUUGGCUCAGGUCACGGUCCAAGGUUCGUGGGUUCCAGCCCCGUCCCCGGCU
rnacentral:tRNA from 1 species